rnacentral:misc_RNA from 1 species
GGGACACUACCGAGAAUGAUUAAAAUAAUAACAAGUCUAAUAGCUGUGACCACAGCAAAUAAGAUGAUGAAACAUACAGAUAUUUGCUUAAACCUUGAUGAAGAUAGUAUGGAAGAAUUGGAGAAAGAUAGUUGUGAUUGUCCUACAAUAGAUUGUGGAGAAGAAGAGGAUAAUAAAAAAGAAAACGAUAUUUCUGAGGAUUCUGAAGACAGCGAGUUGGAAGAUUCGUUGGAUGAGGCAGAGGCAGAAGAGAGAAGAAGCAGGUACUUGCAAGAUAUGAAUGAUUUAGAAAAGCAGUUUGUAGACCUCAAAGAACAAUUGUUUAAAGAAAGAAUUACUCAAAUUGAAGAACAACUUGAUCAUAUUAACAAUAGUGAAGCACAGGAAUACACAGGUCCACUAAAGCAACUUGAAGAUGAAUUUAUUGGUAGAAAUGAUGUGGCAGGCCAUCGAAAACACUACAGGACAAUAAAUUUGGAAAACAAAUUGAAAUGCGAAUUGCAAAAUGCUGAGCAGCAUUUCCAAAAUGAGGAGCAGCAACUUUUUGAUGCAUUGCAUGCAGAUUUACAAGAAAAGUUGCGAAGGAUUGAAGAGGAAAGACAUAAUGCAGAUAUGCAUUCAGAAUUGUGGUGCGAUGAUUCAUUACGGUACAGAAAAAGAAGAAAAGGGCUAGAUAUAUUCAUCCCAGAUAAAAGAAAAAAACCUGUCAUUGUUUCAGGUCCAUACAUUAUUUACAUGCUUAAGGAAUUAGAAAUCAUGGAUGAUUGGGCUGCUAUACGAAAGGCAAAACUUGAACUUGCUGGCAGAAAUAAUGCAGAGUCAAUGACAGAUGAUCCAUUAAUAGUUGCUCGUUAUGAAGAUGGGAAAUUUUUCUAUAAAGGAGACUGGUUUCAAAAAGGUGAAAAGGUUUUGCUGGAUAAUAGCAUUGAUAAUCCAGUUGUUGCUACUAUCACUGGAAUUAAUACUGUAGAGGGUUUAUUUGAGCUUACGGUGGCAUGGUAAACGAUGUUGUUAGAGAAACAAUGGAUGUUCAGUGGACAAAGGGAUUUUUUAUUACAAUUGCAGUUAUGGGUUAGCAAAAGAGAAGGCGUUAAAUGCAAACUAUCUAUUGCACAGUUUCAAAAAGGAAAAUACAUAAUGCGACGAACUGUUCCUGAGGAACUUACGUGAACGGUAUUGUUUUUAAAUGGUUUAUCGAGAUAGUAGUUUUCGAUUUGGAACUUUGAUAUUGGUAAAUUGUUACCGUGCUAUUGAUUAUUUUUUUAUUGAAACCAAUAUAAAUACUGUAUAUAUUUAUGUAAAAAAUUUUAACCAAUUAUUAA